GGCUCGUUGGUCUAGGGGUAUGAUUCUCGCUUUGGGUGCGAGUGGUCCCGGGUUCGAAUCCCGGACGAGCCC
rnacentral:tRNA from 1 species